GGGCGAAUGGUCUAGGGGUAUGAUACUCCCUUCGCAUCUGACUUCAGAUUAAGACUGGGAGGGGUCCGGGGUUCAAUUCCCCGUUCGUCCA